rnacentral:rRNA from 1 species
UGAGGAAUAUUGGUCAAUGGACGCAAGUCUGAACCAGCCAAGUAGCGUGAAGGAUGACUGCCCUCUGGGUUGUAAACUUCUUUUAUACGGGAAUAACAUGAGGUACGCGUACCUUAUUGCAUGUACCGUUAUGAAUAAGCAUCGGCUAACUCCGUGCCAGCAGCCGCGGUAAUACGGAGGAUGCGAGCGUUAUCCGGAUUUAUUGGGUUUAAAGGGAGCGUAGGUGGGAUAUUAAGUCAGCUGUGAAAGUUUGGGGCUCAACCUUAAAAUUGCAGUUGAUACUGGUUUCCUUGAGUACGGUACAGGUGGGCGGAAUUCGUGGUGUAGCGGUGAAAUGCUUAGAUAUCACGAAGAACUCCGAUCGCGAAGGCAGCUCACCGGGCCGGAACUGACACUGAUGCUCGAAAGUGCGGGUAUCAAACAGG